rnacentral:rRNA from 1 species
AUUGAACGCUGGCGGCAGGCCUAACACAUGCAAGUCGAACGAGUGGCGGACGGGUGAGUAAUGUCUGGGAAACUGCCUGAUCGAGGGGGAUAACUACUGGAAACGGUAGCUAAUACCGCAUACCAUCAGAUGUGCCCAGAUGGGAUUAGCGAGUUGGUGGGGUAAUGGCUCACCUAGGCGACGAUGCCUAGCUGGCCUGAGAGGGUGACCAGCCACACUGGAACUGAGACACGGUCCAGACUCCUACGGGAGGCAGCAGUGGGGAAUAUUGGACAAUGGGCGAAAGCCUGAUGCAGCAAUGCCGCGUGAGUGAAGAAGGCCUUCGGGUUGUAAAGCACUUUCGGCGGGGAGGCGUUAUUCGAAGAAGAAGCACCGGCUAACUCCGUGCCAGCAGCCGCGGUAAUAC